rnacentral:rRNA from 1 species
CCUACGGGAGGCAGCAGUGGGGAAUUUUCCGCAAUGGGGGCAACCCUGACGGAGCAAGACCGCGUGGGGGACGAAGGUUUGUGGAUUGUAAACCCCUUUUGAUUGGGAAGAAGACAGUGACGGUACCAAUCGAAUCAGCAUCGGCUAACUCCGUGCCAGCAGCCGCGGUAAUACGGAGGAUGCAAGCGUUAUCCGGAAUUAUUGGGCGUAAAGAGUCCGUAGGUGGAAGUUCAAGUCUGCUGUCAAAGAAUGGAGCUUAACUCCAUAGAGGCAGUGGAAACUGAGCAACUAGAGUGCGGUAGGGGUAGCGGGAAUUCCCAGUGUAGCGGUGAAAUGCGUAGAGAUUGGGAAGAACAUCGGUGGCGAAAGCGCGCUACUGGGCUGUAUCUGACACUCAGGGACGAAAGCUAGGGUAGCGAAAGGGAUUAGAUACCCCAGUAGUC